GAACGCUGGCGGCGUGCUUAACACAUGCAAGUCGAGCGAGGCCAGGGGGUCAACUCCCUGAGUCGAGCGGCGGACGGGUGAGUAACACGUGGGUAACCUACCCGGAAGUGGGGAAUACCUCGGGGAAACUCGAGCUAAUACCGCAUGACAUCUUUGGGACGAAAGUCCUGACGAUCAAAGCGGGGUCGCAAGAUCUCGCGCUACCGGAUGGGCCCGCGCCCGAUUAGCUAGUUGGUGAGGUAACGGCUCACCAAGGCGACGAUCGGUAACCGGCCUGAGAGGGCGAUCGGUCACACCGGAACUGAGACACGGUCCGGACUCCUACGGGAGGCAGCAGUGGGGAAUCUUGCGCAAUGGGCGAAAGCCUGACGCAGCAACGCCGCGUGGAGGAUGAAGGCCCUUGGGUUGUAAACUCCUGUCGGCUGGGAAGAAAUCGUUCGCGGUUAAUACCCGCGGACGUUGACUGUACCAGCAAAGGAAGCCCCGGCUAACUCUGUGCCAGCAGCCGCGGUAAUACAGAGGGGGCCAGCGUUAUUCGGAAUUAUUGGGCGUAAAGGGCGCGUAGGCGGCCAUGCGUGUCUUCCGUGAAAUCCCUCGGCUCAACCGAGGACGUGCGGAAGAAACUGCAAGGCUCGAGUCCAGAAGAGGGGGGCGGAAUUCCCAGUGUAGCGGUGAAAUGCGUAGAUAUUGGGAGGAACACCGGUGGCGAAGGCGGCCCCCUGGGCUGGUACUGACGCUGAUGCGCGAAAGCGUGGGUAGCAAACGGGAUUAGAUACCCCGGUAGUCCACGCCGUAAACGAUGGGCACUUGGUGUCGCGGGUAUCGACCCCUGCGGUGCCGAAGCUAACGCAUUAAGUGCCCCGCCUGGGGGA
rnacentral:rRNA from 1 species